rnacentral:rRNA from 1 species
ACGCUGGCGGCGUGCCUAAUACAUGCAAGUAGAACGCUGAAGCUUGGUGCUUGCACCGAGCGGAUGAGUUGCGAACGGGUGAGUAACGCGUAGGUAACCUGCCUCUUAGCGGGGGAUAACUAUUGGAAACGAUAGCUAAUACCGCAUAAAAGUCGACAUCGCAUGAUGUUGACUUGAAAGGUGCAAUUGCAUCACUAAGAGAUGGACCUGCGUUGUAUUAGCUAGUUGGUGAGGUAACGGCUCACCAAGGCGACGAUACAUAGCCGACCUGAGAGGGUGAUCGGCCACACUGGGACUGAGACACGGCCCAGACUCCUACGGGAGGCAGCAGUAGGGAAUCUUCGGCAAUGGGGGCAACCCUGACCGAGCAACGCCGCGUGAGUGAAGAAGGUUUUCGGAUCGUAAAGCUCUGUUGUAAGAGAAGAACGAGUGUGAGAGUGGAAAGUUCACACUGUGACGGUAACUUACCAGGAAGGGACGGCUAACUACGUGCCAGCAGCCGCGGUAAUACGUAGGUCCCGAGCGUUAUCCGGAUUUAUUGGGCGUAAAGCGAGCGCAGGCGGUUAGAUAAGUCUGAAGUUAAAGGCUGUGGCUUAACCAUAGUACGCUUUGGAAACUGUUUAACUUGAGUGCAGAAGGGGAGAGUGGAAUUCCAUGUGUAGCGGUGAAAUGCGUAGAUAUAUGGAGGAACACCGGUGGCGAAAGCGGCUCUCUGGUCUGUAACUGACGCUGAGGCUCGAAAGCGUGGGGAGCAAACAGGAUUAGAUACCCUGGUAGUCCACGCCGUAAACGAUGAGUGCUAGGUGUUGGGUCCUUUCCGGGACUCAGUGCCGCAGCUAACGCAUUAAGCACUCCGCCUGGGGAGUACGACCGCAAGGUUGAAACUCAAAGGAAUUGACGGGGGCCCGCA